rnacentral:rRNA from 1 species
ACGGUCCUAAGGUAGCGAAAUUCCUUGUCAGGUAAGUUCUGACCCGCACGAAAGGUGUAACGAUUUGGGCGCUGUCUCGGCAGCAGACUCGGUGAAAUCUUAGUACCUGUGAAAAUGCAGGUUACCCGCAACUAGACGGAAAGACCCCAUGGAGCUUUACUGCAGCCUGAUAUUGAAUUCUGGUCAUACAUGUACAGGAUAGGUGGGAGACAAAGAGACGUGCACGCCAGUGUACGAGGAGUCGACGUUGGGAUACCACUCUUGUGUGACCGGGGUUCUAACCUGGUAUCGAGAACAGGUACGGGGAGAGUGUCAGGUGGGCAGUUUGACUGGGGCGGUCGCCUCCCAAAGAGUAACGGAGGCGCCCAAAGGUACGCUCAGAUUGGAUGGAAACCAAUCGUCGAGUGCAAUUGCAGAAGCGUGCUUGACUGUGAGACAGACAAGUCGAACAGGGACGAAAGUCGGGAAUAGUGAUCCGGCGGUGCCGAAUGGAAGGGCCGUCGCUCAACGGAUAAAAGCUACCCUGGGGAUAACAGGCUGAUCUCGCCCAAGAGUUCACAUCGACGGCGAGGUUUGGCACCUCGAUGUCGGCUCAUCGCAUCCUGGAGCUGGAUUCGGUUCCAAGGGUUGGGCUGUCCGCCCAUUAAAGCGGUACGCGAGCUGGGUUCAGAACGUCGUGAGACAGUUCGGUCCCUAUCUGUUGUGGGCGAAGGAGAUCUGCGGAGAGCUGUCCUCAGUACGAGAGGACCGGGAUGGACCUACCGCUGGUGCACCGGUUGUUCCGCCAGGGGCAUAGCCGGGUAGCUAAGUAGGGAAAGGAUAAGCGCUGAAAGCAUCUAAGCACGAAGCCUACUCCAAGAUGAGAUCUCCCAUUCGCAAGAAGUAAGACCCCUUAAAGACGAUAAGGUAGAUAGGCCAGGGAUGGAAGUGCAGUGAUGUACGGAGUUGACUGGUACUAAUCGGUCGAGGACUUAAUCAG